rnacentral:rRNA from 1 species
UACAGAGGUCCCAAGCGUUGUUCGGAUUCACUGGGCGUAAAGGGUGCAUAGGUGGUUGGGUAAGUCUGAUGUGAAAUCUCCGAGCCUAACUCGGAAACUGCAUCGGAUACUAUUCGGCUAGAGGGUUGGAGGGGGGACUGGAAUUCUCGGUGUAGCAGUGAAAUGCGUAGAUAUCGAGAGGAACACCAGUGGCGAAGGCGAGUCCCUGGACAACUCCUGACACUGAGGCACGAAAGCUAGGGGAGCAAACAGG